AUGUGUUGUUUGUUUUUCCUUUUUCAGCUCCGCCUUGGGAGAGAAUGUUACGGACACGCUGGCGGGCGGAUCCGGCCAGAAAGGGAUCCCCCCGCCCCCCCCCGCACCCCCCCUGCACCCCCCUUGCACCCCCUCCGCCUUCCGGCGGCUCCCUCACCUGGGAGGGGCUCCCCAGCCCCGUGCACAGCGCACCUGGCCACCCCGAGAGCUGCGGACCGCCUGACAGUCGGGCGCGCAGGGGGGGCGCGGGAGGGGGCAGGGGAGCGCGCGGGUGCGGGCCACGCGGUGCCACGCGGUGCCACGGCCCUCCCCCGCGUCCCGGCGCCCACCCGCGGGCUUGAGCCGACCCAGGUGUUCACCGCGUUCCCGCGGGCCGAGGGAGGGCCUGCCGGCAUCCACAAGGGCUCCGGGGCGUCCCCAGCAGCCCGUGCCCGGGUCCCCGCGCCCUCCGCGCCCCGGGGGCGCUCCGGGAGCGAUGGCAGCGGGCAGCCCCGGGUCCCGCACGAAGGGGGCCCGGGUUGCCCACGACAGCGCCCGCGGAGCCCCGGCGGCCCCAGGACACUUGACUUUGCUGUCGCGCCGGGGAGGAGACAGCGCGCUCCCGGGGAGGGGGUGGGGGCGCCCCCAGGGGCCCGCGCUCCAAUGGGAGAGCCGUGGUCAGGGGCACAGGGUCCGGGCCGGGGUCCCCGCGCCCGGGGAGGGGCGCGCACGGGGCGGCCCGCGGGGGUCGGUGCCCCGCCGGCCCGGGGCGAGCGAGCUCUCCCUUCUCGGGAGCGUCGGACCCGCCUAGGAGGUUUCCGGGGGCGGCGGGGCCGGAGGGGCGGGGAGGGGGGGCUCGGCCCGGGCCUGGCGCGCGCUCGGUCCCCGCGGCCCGGACCCCGCGCCCGAGCGCCGCGCGCGCCUCCCGCCGCCCUCCCCGGGGCGGAACUCGGCGGCCGGGCGCCCGGUGGGAAGACACCCGCUGCCUCCCGAGGAAACCCUAAUACCAUCCAUACAGCUUUAAUGCGUUUAUAA
rnacentral:lncRNA from 1 species